GCUACGGGUGGCAGCAGUGGGGAAUAUUGGGCAAUGGGCGCAAGCCUGACCCAGCAACGCCGCGUGAAGUAAGAAGGCUUUCGGGUUGUAAACUUCUUUUCUGAGGGACGAAGAAAGUGACGGUACCUCAGGAAUAAGCCACGGCUAACUACGUGCCAGCAGCCGCGGUAAUACGGAGGUGGCAAGCGUUAUCCGGAUUUAUUGGGUGUAAAGGGCGUGUAGGCGGGAAAGAAAGUCAGAUGUCAAGACUCAGGGCUCAACCCUGAGCCUGCAUUUGAAACUGUUUUUCUUGAGUGCUGGUGAGGCAAUCGGAAUUCCGUGUGUAGCGGUGACAUGCGUAGAUAUACGGAGGAACACCAGUGGCGAAGGCGGAUUGCUGGACAGUAACUGACGCUGAGGCGCGAAAGCGUGGGGAGCAAACAGGAUUAGAUACCCCUGUAGUC
rnacentral:rRNA from 1 species